rnacentral:rRNA from 1 species
GUGGGGAAUAUUGCACAAUGGGCGCAAGCCUGAUGCAGCGACGCCGCGUGAGGGAUGACGGCCUUCGGGUUGUAAACCUCUGUUAGCAGGGAAGAAGAGAAAUUGACGGUACCUGCAGAGAAAGCGCCGGCUAACUACGUGCCAGCAGCCGCGGUAAUACGUAGGGCGCGAGCGUUGUCCGGAAUUAUUGGGCGUAAAGAGCUUGUAGGCGGUUUGUCGCGUCUGCUGUGAAAGGCCGGGGCUUAACUCCGUGUAUUGCAGUGGGUACGGGCAGACUAGAGUGCAGUAGGGGAGACUGGAACUCCUGGUGUAGCGGUGGAAUGCGCAGAUAUCAGGAAGAACACCGAUGGCGAAGGCAGGUCUCUGGGCUGUAACUGACGCUGAGAAGCGAAAGCAUGGGGAGCGAACAGGAUUAGAAACCCCAGUAGUCC